rnacentral:rRNA from 1 species
UACAGAGGGUGCGAGCGUUAAUCGGAGUUACUGGGCGUAAAGGGCGCGUAGGUGGUUAUUUAAGCUGGAUGUGAAAUCCCUGGGCUUAACCUAGGAACUGCAUUCAAGACUGGAUGACUGGAGUACGGUAGAGGGUAGUGGAAUUUCCGGUGUAGCGGUGAAAUGCGUAGAGAUCGGAAGGAACACCAGUGGCGAAGGCGACUACCUGGACUGAUACUGACACUGAGGCGCGAAAGCGUGGGGAGCAAACAGG